UCUAAAGCUAAUGUGUUUACAUACUUCCUUGAAUGCCUUUGAUUAUAGCAUAUCUUUGCUGUAGGCCACACCCCAUCACUGACCAGUAACCAACAGAAUACCAAACCCAACCCUGCAGGACAGGAAAUGAAAAGGAAGCUGUCCAUCUGAUCAGCUUCUGAGUCUGGGACUUCAAAGUGACGGCAGGGUGGAGAGGAGACGCAAGGAUAGACCCAAUUCACGAGCUCAACAGCACAGGGCCCUAUCUGAUGUGCUCCGAUAAAGACGUCCGGUGCUGACAUUUCUUGAUCUCCACCAGUAUUGAGUGAAGCACACAUGACCCCUUUGUCCUUAUGUUGAUGAAUGACUGCCUCAUACCCAUUUUGUCAGAUUUUGGUGCAGUGGAGUCGAUAGCGUCACCUUGACGAGGAAAGUUUGUGAUCCAUCAGCCCUCAAGGCUGUCUGGCCUCAACUAAGGCCUGGCAAGAGCAGCUCACUGUAUGGGGCAUCUACUCCAUCCAAAAUCCUUCACCCAGUGUGCUGCGAUCUUGUGAGGUCGAACGAAUGGCUCUUAUUACUGCCACUUUACAGUGAGGGGGAGAAAAAAAAGAAAAAAGGAAAAAACACUUGACUUGUACUAAUAGCUGAGAAGCCAUGCUGGUCACCAAAGGUCUGAAGACGAAGCACCCUGUCAGUGCCCAGCUUGGGAAAUUAGCAAAUAAUGUUCCCUUCCCCCUGACAAAUGUGUGACAGCUCGCCUUCGCCAAUCAUUCUCUCCUAACGUUAUGAUGCAUGUCCUGGAUCCCCACUGGAGGAUACAGGCGAAGUUUACUGACCCUCAAUUUACCCAUGACAAAUGGGGUCCCGGUAAAUGUGCGUUUUCUGGGGCGCGGAAGGGGUUCAUUUUAAGCAAUCCUGGUUAUGUGGAUGUCACUGAUUAGGAUAAAUAGUGCCUGAGUCGGUUUGGACUGCUUGCAGAACCGUAUUACCAAGGGCCUGCAUCGUUGCCCCUGGAGGGGAGCACUCGUGGAAACUUGGCCAAGACAGAAAACCAAAAGCUCUGAUGCAAUUAGGAGCUUAAAUUGAAUAAAUUGUAUGGUCAAAGUUUUUAUUUAUGAUUUACUUUUUCAUACAGUGUUGUGACUAUGCAGUAAAAAGGUUAGAGUGCUGCAAAUGAGGCUGAAAAUGAAGACUUUCUCUUUAAGAGAUAUCUGAUUAAACCAGCAUGUACUGUUUGCAGUGCUUAAUAAAGUGGAAAGUAUAAUAAAGUAUUGACCUCA